ensembl:lncRNA
GUCAUCCCUAUGGAAAAAAUGAAUGGGGAAAGAAUAGGGUUUUGGAAUAAACGCCGAAAAUAAGAUUUUGUCCAACGAACCACGGCGGAGUUAUCGCCUACAAAAAGAUGCCAUGACUAUUUCUCUCUAUAGGCAUGUGUUAGCAUCCAAGGGAGAAAACGUGUUACUUCCGCUUGUCAUCCUCCCUCGUCCGCUGUCAGGCGUGAGGAGACAGUGAUGCAAUGCGUCCCGCUCCCUGUCCCAGAAGCCCUGUCACCUGAAGGAAGUGGCAUUAACCACCCUGGACAGCCAGCCACCACUGGGCUGCUGUUGUGGAAUCGUGAUGAAACCAUAUGGAGACUGGGCGGCGUAAAUGACUUCUUAGGAGUGCAGCGAGAUGUGAAGGACGGACUGACAGGAGACGGGAGCGCGGCGAGCACACUAAUGAGCUACAUGCUUCACACCGAGACACGGGGGGGAGAGAGAACGAGAG